rnacentral:misc_RNA from 1 species
GAUCAUUAGCGCGCAGGCCGGAGGCUGGCCCCCCACGAUAGGGCCAAACGUCCGUCAGGGGUGAGCAGAUGUGCGCCGGCCGUACCGCCCCAUUCUUGUCUACAUUACUCGGUUGCCUCGGCGGGCCGCGCUCUCCCAGGAGAGCCGUUCGGCGAGCCUCUCUUUAGUGGCUAAACGCUGGACCGCGCCCGCCGGAGGACAGACGCAAAAAAAAUCUUUCAGAAGAGCUGUCAGUCUGAGCGUUAGCAAGCAAAAAUCAGUUAAAACUUUCAACAACGGAUCUCUUGGUUCCGGCAUCGAUGAAGAACGCAGCGAAAUGCGAUAAGUAAUGUGAAUUGCAGAAUUCCGUGAAUCAUCGAAUCUUUGAACGCACAUUGCGCCCCCUGGCAUUCCGGGGGGCAUGCCUGUUCGAGCGUCAUUUCAGCCCCUCAAGCCCGGCUUGUGUGAUGGACGACCGUCCGGCGCCCCCGUCUUUGGGGGUGCGGGACGCGCCCGAAAAGCAGUGGCCAGGCCGCGAUUCCGGCUUCCUAGGCGAAUGGGCAACAAACCAGCGCCUCCAGGACCGGCCGCCCUGGCCUCAAAAUCUGUUUUAUACUUAUCAGGUUGACCUCGGAUCAGGUAGGGA